UGUGUGUGUGUGUGUGUGUGUGUGUGUGUGUGUGUGUUCUGGUAAUCAUCACGCGAUGGGGACCGUUGACUGUUUACACAGUCACGUCAUGGGGACCGGUUGCGCUUUGGGGACCAAAAUCCCGGUCCCCAUGAGGAUAACCCUUUUAAAUGACUACUAGAGCUACUCUGAAGGUGCCCGUGAAGUUUUAAGCAUUGGCCCAUACGACAUGUUUUUUGGUGAGUGUGAGUGUGUGAGCAUUGCUCAUUGGUGGCCCUACUGUUUCUAGUUAGUACUGCACCCACUGCUUCACACACACACAUCUUCCAAAUAUGGUUGGGUGCCACCCACUUCCUUGUCCCCAUUAGGAAUGAUUCAAGCAGCGAGGACAUUUUCAGCAUCAAGAGGUAGCUAUCAACAGUAAAAGAAGAUUAUUUGCUGGAGAAACUAGCUAAGAAGAUAAGAACAUGUGCAGAGGAGCAAAAGUAAAGCAUAAGAAAUGCCACCACGGAUCAGCAAUUCAACAUGAUACACAUCUGCAAAUUAGAGGUCCAGUAUAUUUAUGCAGCAAAAGGAUGUGGUAUAUUUGCAAAGGGUACAAUUUGCAAAGGAGACUUUGUUAUAUAUAGGGGGGAGGUCUAGAGGCGGUGGUCUAUCGGCAGAAACUUGGACUAUGG